UGCCAGCAGCCGCGGUAAUACUGAGGGUGCAAGCGUUAAUCGGAAUCACUGGGCGUAAAGCGCUCGUAGGUGGCUUUGUAAGUCAGUGGUGAAAUCCCGGGGCUCAACUCCGGAACUGCCAUUGAUACUACAGGUCUUGAAUACGGUUGAAGUAGGCGGAAUGUAGCAUGUAGCGGUGAAAUGCAUAGAUAUGCUACAGAACACCGAUCGCGAAGGCAGCUUACUAAGCCGAUAUUGACGCUCAGGCACGAAAGCGUGGGUAGCGAACAGGAUUAGAUA
rnacentral:rRNA from 1 species